rnacentral:rRNA from 1 species
AUUGAACGCUGGCGGCAUGCUUUACACAUGCAAGUCGAACGGUAACAGGCCGCAAGGUGCUGACGAGUGGCGAACGGGUGAGUAAUGCAUCGGAACGUGCCCAGUCGUGGGGGAUAACUGCUCGAAAGAGCAGCUAAUACCGCAUACGAUCUAUGGAUGAAAGCGGGGGACCGUAAGGCCUCGCGCGAUUGGAGCGGCCGAUGUCAGAUUAGGUAGUUGGUGGAGUAAAGGCUCACCAAGCCAACGAUCUGUAGCUGGUCUGAGAGGACGACCAGCCAAACUGGGACUGAGACACGGCCCAGACUCCUACGGGAGGCAGCAGUGGGGAAUUGUGGACAAUGGGGGCAACCCUGAUCCAGCAAUGCCGCGUGCAGGAAGAAGGCCUUCGGGUUGUAAACUGCUUUUGUACGGAACGAAACGGUCUGGGUUAAUACCCUGGGCUAAUGACGGUACCGUAAGAAUAAGCACCGGCUAACUACGUGCCAGCCGCCGCUGUAAAAC